rnacentral:rRNA from 1 species
GGGGAAUUUUCCGCAAUGGGGGCAACCCUGACGGAGCAACGCCGCGUGGGGGAGGAAGGUCUGUGGAUUGUAAACUCCUUUUCUCAGGGAAGAAGCUCUGACGGUACCUGAGGAAUCAGCAUCGGCUAACUCCGUGCCAGCAGCCGCGGUAAGACGGAGGAUGCAAGCGUUAUCCGGAAUUAUUGGGCGUAAAGCGUCCGUAGGCGGUUUAUCAAGUCUGCCGUUAAAGACUGCAGCUUAACUGUGGGCCAGCGGUGGAAACUGAGGAACUAGAGUGCGGUAGGGGUAGAGGGAAUUCCCAGUGUAGCGGUGAAAUGCGUAGAUAUUGGGAAGAACACCAGUGGCGAAGGCGCUCUACUGGGCCGUAACUGACGCUGAGGGACGAAAGCUAGGGGAGCGAAAGGGAUUAGAUA